rnacentral:tRNA from 1 species
GUUGGGGUGGCAGAGUCCGGUAAUUGCGAAAGGCCUAAGCCCUUUAAUCAGGGGUUCAAAUCCUCUCCCUAACU